CGUAGAGCUUGAACUCCGAGCUUGAACUGCCGGCUCGGGGUCUCUUCCCUCCGCCGUCGCGGAACUGCCUCGGAGGCCGAGGGGAGGGCGGCCUCACUGAGGCUACCAGCUCUGGAGGGGCCCCGGCGGCCGAAGCCACGACAGUCGUGGGGACGGCGGGACGGGUACAGAAUUCUAGUAAGGAGACUACACCCUCAGUGUCCAGCUGUUUGAGUCCUCAGUGUGCUUCAAAUGAUGGAGAGUUAUUGCUUCUUUAUGAGAAGAGUUAGUACCUCGUAGAUCACUCAUCCUGGGGUAAGCCAGCUACGAUGUCAUGAGGACACUCAAGCAGCCCUAAGGAGAGAUCCAUGUGGCAAGGAACUGAGGCCUCUUACCUACAGCCACGUGACAGCAGUGAAUGAGAUUCAAGGAUUAUAUACAUUCUCGUCAAACCUGAUAAUACCUGUCAUUUUCAUUUGAACUUUCUGGUUGGUAAGUGAUAAUUAAAUGUAUCACUUUUUUUGCAUUUAAUUGACUACUAAGAAGCCAAGCAUCUUUUGAUAUGUUUACUUAACAUUCUGUACUCUCUUUUUGUAAAUACCUUUUGGUAUAUUUUCCCCAUAUUUGCUAUUACAUUAUCUUCUUAUUGAAGACUUCUUUUUUUUUUAACAUCUGAAGACUUCUUAUUGAGGAGUUUUUAAUAUAUGCUUGCUAUGAGUUCUUCUCUCUUUCUGUCUCUCCUUCUCUUUCUUUAGAUGAGUGUCAG